rnacentral:lncRNA from 1 species
AAGGCUAUGAUGCUCUGUCUAGCGUCAGAAAGAAGAAACGUUUAAAAGAAACAUAAUAAAACUUAAAAGUUUAAAGCAAUGUUCGCUCUAGCUCGUUAUCAGUUAACACUUAAUUGAAAGAUCCAACAAACAAAGGCAAAUAAUUUGAUACUCACGUAAUAUUCUCCCCUCCAAAUUUAUAUCUCGUCUUCACCAAAAAAAGCCACCACCCGCAGCACCACACAAAACAACAGACGAAAUCCCCAAGGUGAUAAUGGACGUCAGUCCAAUUGGCAAUUUCUACAGUGAGGAGAAGGAAGAGCUCUUGACAUUCGUUUAUGUGCCUUGUCUAUGGCAUCUGUUAGUGAUUCCAGACGUUUAAGCACCCGGACAACAGCACUUGGGCUUGGACAGUGGAUUGCGCUGAAAGGAAAAAUACGUGUUGGUAAGCUUGUUCCUGGCUCAUUUGAUCCUCACUCUAGAUACUGGCCAUCUAAUUAAAUAGGUCCAAUUAAAUAAGACUUCACCCAAAACAAAAAGGGAAUUAUCUUACUAGAAAACUUGGUGCAGAAGUAGGGCCUAGUUGAUUGAUAAUUCUGGAUAUGUGAGAUGAGGGUUUUGAUGGUUGUAUGUUGUAUGAUGUUCAAGCUGUUAAUGUAGAUGCUGCCCAAUGAGGAGAUGGUGAUAACUGUGCUUAAAGCUGCUACUGUCCUUGGUGGAAUAUAUUAAUGUGUUGUUCAUCUGUCAUGUCAUAUCCAUGCAACAUAUUAUAAGGAUAACGAAACGUAAGUAUGAACAAUAAAUAGAAGAUUCUCAAUG